UACGUAGGGUGCAAGCGUUGUCCGGAAUUAUUGGGCGUAAAGAGCGUGUAGGCGGCCCGAUUAGUCCGCUGUGAAAGUCCAGGGCUCAACCCUGGAAUGCCGGUGGAUACUGUCGGGCUAGAGUCCGGAAGGGGCGAGUGGAAUUCCUGGUGUAGCGGUGAAAUGCGCAGAUAUCAGGAGGAACACCAAUGGCGAAGGCAGCUCGCUACACUAUUAUUGACGCUGAGGCACGAAAGCGUGGGGAUCAAACAGG
rnacentral:rRNA from 1 species